rnacentral:rRNA from 1 species
UGGGGAAUAUUGGACAAUGGGCGCAAGCCUGAUCCAGCCAUGCCGCGUGAGUGAUGAAGGGCCCUAGGGUUGUAAAGCUCUUUCACCGGUGAAGAUAAUGACGGUAACCGGAGAAGAAGCCCCGGCUAACUUCGUGCCAGCAGCCGCGGUAAUACGAAGGGGGCUUAGCGUUGUUCGGAUUUACUGGGCGUAAAGCGCACGUAGGCGGACUUUUAAGUCAGGGGUGAAAUCCCGGGGGCUCAACCCCGGAACUGCCUUUGAUACUGGAAGUCUUGAGUAUGGUAGAGGUGAGUGGAAUUCCGAGUGUAGAGGUGAAAUUCGUAGAUAUUCGGAGGAACACCAGUGGGCGAAGGCGGCUCACUGGACCAUUACUGACGCUGAGGUGCGAAAGCGUGUGGAGCAAACAGG